CGGUCUGUGACCCGUCGGCUCCGGCUCUAUUCCUGUGCCUACGCUGUUUUUUAGGAGGGCACUGAAGGAGUGGUGUGCAGGCCCGCUGGACGGGAAGCCUAAGCUUCGGGACGCGCCCCCCACCUGUUCCUGUAGGGUACAGGGUCUGGGUCGGGCCGACGGUCGCAGGCCCU
rnacentral:other from 1 species